AGAGUUUGAUCCUGGCUCAGGAUGAACGCUAGCUACAGGCUUAACACAUGCAAGUCGAGGGGCAGCAUGUUGGUUGCUUGCAACCAACGAUGGCGACCGGCGCGCGGGUGAGUAACGCGUAUCCAACCUACCCUUGUCCAUCGGAUAACCCGUCGAAAGGCGGCCUAACACGAUAUGCGGUUCACGGCAGGCAUCUAAGGUGAACGAAAUGUGAAGGGGAAGGAUGGGGAUGCGUCUGAUUAGCUUGUUGGCGGGUAACGCCACAAGGCUACGAUCAGUAGGGGUUCUGAGGGGAAGGUCCCCCANAUUGGAACUGAGACACGGUCCAAACUCCUACGGGAGGCA
rnacentral:rRNA from 1 species